GGUCCGAAGCUCGGGAUCUCAGUCACCCCUCUGUGGCACGUUACAAAGGUUUGUGCCACUCAGGAUCAGCCCACUGAGCGGGCACGGCCACUCCCACCAACGCACCUGUGGCUCGUCUCUCAUCAGGAGAGGCUGGGCAUUUAAGCUGCCGAAGCCUCAGAGGCUGGUGUGAAGUCUUGUGCAUGUUGCCAUCACAUUCUGAGCGUUCGCUAGAUAUCCUGUUUCUGCCUACCUGUUAUUGACCUCUCCUUUGUCCCAGACCUCGUUCACGCCUGCCUGACCCCCGACGGUACCUCUGCCUACCUCCGCGCUCCCGGCUCUCGACCCCCCCCGCCUGACCUCCAGCUACGACCUUGCCUGCUCCCUGACGGUGCCUCAGUCUGUUCCCUGCUUGCCUGGCUUUUCGACCCCUGCCUGUUCACCGGACACUACCACGCCUGAUCCUUGUCUGUACCCCGCUAAUAAAACUGCGCUCUGCGCUUGAGUUCACUCUGGUCUCUUGUGGUGCGUUACAGAAGACUUCGCCACAACCAGACCCAGCAGAGGCGCAGCGUUCCCAUCGCCUGUGGAAAUGUCCGACCCGGAUCAGCAGGCUGGAGGAGACCUCAGUAUGCCUCAGGUCAUUGAACAUCUCGCCGGGGUCCAGAAAGAUCGAAAUAGGCAUCCAAAAUUCAUCGUCAUCUAGGACCACAAGACCAUAAAAAAAAAACGACAUGGCAAUAUGGCAACGACGGGCGCAGCACUCUGGACAGCGCAUCAAGAGAGCAGCACCAAGGGCAAGGGCACCCACGAGCAAGAGGUCAGGUGACCAAAAGGGGAAACACCCCGCCCCCUCAGGAGACAACGAGCGGCCCAGCUGCAGCUUGUAAGGCUGAUGAAGGUUGGCCACACUAUAAAAGACCAACCAGCCCAAAUCCCGGGAGGCAAGACGAAGGAGACUGAAGGCCACCCGCUGAACCGCACUCUCAAAAGAGGGAGAAUCUAAUUUUCCCUUUUUUCGUUACUUUGUACAUUACAAUAAAUCGUACCCUUUUCGUGUGCAACUAGACGUGUAUCUGAGUCCGGUGAUUCCACCCACAUCCGUUGGUUGCCACAGCACACUCUUUAUAUAUGGGUCACUCGACUGUACUCACCUUUUGUGUAUUUGUUCAUUAAAUAUUCCUAGACAAGUAUGUUUAGCCUGAAUAUCUCUGGGGGACCAGGGAUCAUUCUUUUUAACAUACCGUAUGAAAUCAAACCCAUUGCAUACGUGGAAGGCUCUUCCCCUGUAGGUGACUUAACUGUUUUAUAUUCUUCAGCAGUGAUCAUGUGAUCAGUAAUCCUUUCCUGUAAAUGACCUUUUGAUUUAUUUUUCUCUUGCUGUGUUUUGGGCGUUAUGAUCCCCAGAGGAUUACUCCUCAGGACUUUCAAUUCCCUUUUUCCUCUGGCUCCACCAUAAGGGUUUCCCUCAAUGAAUUGCAAUCGUUUUGAUCAUUUCUCUUUUGUUUGUAUCUAUUUGGAGCCAUCACCAGGUCUAAGUUUUUCAUUUGGCCAAUAGUUUUUUUUAUGAAUACAUAAAUAAGCUUGUGACACCCACAGUCUCAACUGUACUUUGUGUUCAUUAACAAACGCUAGCAUUCUGACAUACAGCCGUACAGCCUAAAACAGAUGCAAGAAUUGCUGUGGAAUCCUUUGACCAGUGGUUCCCAAACUGGGGGGCAACAUGGAACUGCAACCAACCCACAAAAACAGGCACACAUUGGUAUGAAAUAUGUUCCAUCACUGCCUCAGAUGAAGCUUGGAUUGUUACUUACCACAGAUUAAAACAUGUAUACAACUGUAUGUAACAAUACACAAGCAG